rnacentral:rRNA from 1 species
GAUGAACGCUAGCUACAGGCUUAACACAUGCAAGUCGAGGGGCAGCAUGGUCUUAGCUUGCUAAGGCCGAUGGCGACCGGCGCACGGGUGAGUAACACGUAUCCAACCUGCCGUCUACUCUUGGACAGCCUUCUGAAAGGAAGAUUAAUACAAGAUGGCAUCAUGAGUUCACAUGUUCACAUGAUUAAAGGUAUUCCGGUAGACGAUGGGGAUGCGUUCCAUUAGAUAGUAGGCGGGGUAACGGCCCACCUAGUCUUCGAUGGAUAGGGGUUCUGAGAGGAAGGUCCCCCACAUUGGAACUGAGACACGGUCCAAACUCCUACGGGCGGCAGCAGUGAGGAAUAUUGGUCAAUGGGCGAGAGCCUGAACCAGCCAAGUAGCGUGAAGGAUGACUGCCCUAUGGGUUGUAAACUUCUUUUAUAAAGGAAUAAAGUCGGGUAUGUAUACCCGUUUGCAUGUACUUUAUGAAUAAGGAUCGGCUAACUCCGUG